AGAGUUUGAUCCUGGCUCAGAACGAACGCUGGCGGCAGGCUUAACACAUGCAAGUCGAACGCCCCGCAAGGGGAGUGGCAGACGGGUGAGUAACGCGUGGGAACAUACCCUUCGGUUCGGAAUAGCUCAGGGAAACUUGGAUUAAUACCGGAUACGGCAGUCAAGAGAGAUCUUGGAGGCGAAAGAUUCAUCGCCGAAGG
rnacentral:rRNA from 1 species